rnacentral:rRNA from 1 species
AUACAGAGGGUGCAAGCGUUGUUCGGAAUUAUUGGGCGUAAAGCGCGUGUAGGCGGCGACGUAUGUCGGGUGUGAAAGCCCUCGGCUUAACCGGGGAAGUGCGCCCGAAACUACGUUGCUCGAGUGCUGGAGAGGGUAGCGGAAUUCCCGGUGUAGAGGUGAAAUUCGUAGAUAUCGGGAGGAACACCAGUGGCGAAGGCGGCUACCUGGACGGACACUGACGCUGAGACGCGAAAGCGUGGGUAGC